UACAGAGGGGGCCAGCGUUAUUCGGAAUUAUUGGGCGUAAAGGGCGCGUAGGCGGCUUUGCGUGUCUUUCGUGAAAUCCCUCGGCUCAACUGAGGACGUGCGGAAGAAACUGCAGGGCUGGAGUCCGGGAGAGGGGUGUGGAAUUCCCGGUGGAGUGGUGAAAUGCGUUGAGAUCGGGAGGAACACCAGUGGCGAAGGCGGCACCCUGGCCGAGUUCUGACGCUGAAGUGCGACAGCGUGGGGAGCAAACGGG
rnacentral:rRNA from 1 species